GACGAACGCUGGCGGCGUGCUUAACACAUGCAAGUCGAACGAAGUGGCGAACGGGUGAGUAACGCGUAAUCAACCUGCCCUUCAGAGGGGGACAACAGUUGGAAACGACUGCUAAUCCCGCAUACUGAAGGAGGGGAUGGCGUCUGAUUAGCUAGUCGGAGGGGUAACGGCCCACCAAGGCGAUGAUCAGGAGGCGGUAUGGGAGGAUGAACGGCCAAAUUGGGACUGAGACACGGCCCAGACUCCUACGGGAGGCAGCAGGGGGGAAUCUUCCGAAAUGGAGGAAAGUCUGACGGAGCAACGCCGCGGGGGUGAUGACGGCCUUCGGGGUGUAAAGCUCUGUUAAUCGGGACGCGGUACCGGAAUAGAAAGCCACGGCUAACUACGUGCCAGCAGCCGCGGUAAUUC
rnacentral:rRNA from 1 species